GGUUGGCGCGCGCCGGGGAAACGACCGUUAGCGUCGCCAUGGCGGCGGGGCGGCGGUUGACGGGCGGCGGUUGGAGGGCCCGGCGUGAGGCACCGCGGGGACGGCGCUGCCGAGGGGUGCGAGCCCGGCACGGCCCGGUUUGUCUGCCCCCACGAUGCAGGUGUCAGUAAUUUCUAAAGCGAAGGUUGAAUGAAGCCUUACUACGAAGAUACCACCAUCUCUCUAUGAAGUUAUCACUGACUGCAGGACUGAAGCUGUCCAAACUCAGCAUAACUCAACAUUGUCAGUUUAGAACAUUUCAACCCCCCACCCAUUAAAUUCAACAUGAUAGCACCACAUUUAACCCAACUCAGAAAUUCCGUGUGGAUCCAGGAAACUGAAGUUUAUUGCUUUGGGAGAACACCUUGCAUUUGCAAGUUCGUGGACCACAAGUGGAGAUACUUUUUCAUUUGUUCUAAGGGAAGUUUCCUCCGGCCGUAUAACCUGCCUCAUGGUAACAUGGUCAAUGAAACAGCAACACACAGUGGUACGGGAGCCAUCCAGUGGACUACUGUGAAACACACAGCCAAGACAAAUUAGAAACCAUCUUGGAGGUUUUUCUGCCUUUUUGAUUUCAAGAUGUUGGGUUUUGUCCCUUUUGUUCAAAACCUGCUUGUACUAUUAAAUGCCAAAUUCCUUUACUUCUUGCAUUCAUUUUGAAGAACUAAUUUUCCCAAAGAUGUGAAAUGUCUUUAGUUUAAGAUAGUCGUAAUAGCUUAAGUUAUGGAGCUGCAUUUUUUACAAUACUCGUACAACUAGAUUGUGAACACUGGGCUCCAUUUUUUUCAGUUUACACAAAGGAAAUGGAAAUGUACAGUAUGAAAAUGAAUGAUCGUGAAAGAUGCUCAUUUAUCGCCUUGAUUUCUGUUUUGAAAUAAAGUUUAGUCGUAAUGUAUUUUGUUUUAAAUG
rnacentral:lncRNA from 1 species